CAGAUGUCUGCCACAGCAGCCGAUGUUGAGCCUGACCCCCCCAACAGUCCACAACUGAUUCUACUGGUUGCUGGUGAUGGUGUCACAUUGGAACAUUGGGUGAUCAGCAUCGGAAGCCAGGUCAUUUGUGAAGGCAUCUAUAAAACCUCACACACACCAUCACAGGGCUUGCUACUUGCUAUGUGUUCAAUCUACUAUACCAAGAAGAAGCUGCAAGGACACUGGAGUUUGUUCAAAGGCGUCUCAUUGGGAUUUAUCCUGAGAGGGGAAGAAAGACCAGCCACGGGGAGGUGGUGGAAAAGGAAGACGGGGAAGCUGGUCCACAAAAAGGAAACAACGGUGAAUCCCCAUGUGACCACGCUACUAAACAAUGUGAUGGACUUUAUUUAGCCAGCAUAGGUCAGUCCAUCUGUCUCAGAUGUCCAGGGUCAUUGUUGAACCCACCAUUGUUGAGAGCCAGUUUAAUUUUUAUUGUUAAUGGAAUUGAUGUAAUUUAGUUAGCUUUUAUAUGCAUUUGAUGCAGUGAACUGUUGUCUUUUGGUGAAGGAAGGAAAACCAAAUGAGCAGAAAGAUUAAAUUAAUGUGAAUUGGCGGAUAAUUUGUACUCUGUGCUUUGCAUAGAAUGCAAGAAACAGUCAAACCAGACCUAUUUUGACCUGGGGACAAAAAUACAAAGUCAAAUGAUGUAAUUUUAGCCAUCACUUGUCAUAGUUCACAUUCUGAAUUAAAUUUGUGUUUUUAUGAAUU